rnacentral:pre_miRNA from 1 species
GGUCGUGUUUGGUGUAUCAUACUUAAGCAAACACAGUAUUGCACCUGUCCCGGCCG